UCAUAGAAAUUCCUUGUGAGUGAAAGCACUUGAAGAACGCGAGGCCAAGCAGGGACAAGGCCCCGACGGGCUCCGUGAGACUGGGAUUCUCCACGCCACACCAGGCCUGGCAGCGGUGGGAAGUCGGAUGACAAUUCCAACGUUUCCAGGGCUGCGCACAGGAUGACUCCCGGUGGGCAGCCCCAAACACCAGAGCGAAGUUCAGACCCCCAGAUGCCCAACGUUUCAGAAUUUCUCACUUAAACCUGACUGACUGCUUGACCUCGAGAGAAGAAAUCUCCAGCCACAAGCACCGCCCUGCUUUCUUCAACAUCUCCCCACCAUAGAGAUCUACAUCAAGCCCUCUCUCUGGUUCCUGCUGAUGCUGAGACAAGACAAGACGACCUUGGGCUUUGGCUGCUGCGCAUGACCUCAUGGAGGUGUUUUCCAACUGGAUUGCUUAAGCACCCGAGCCUUAAGGGGCAGCUUGAUGAUGAAGAACUGAUCUUCCCUCUGCGUUUGAAGCACAAAACCUCAUUUUCUGAAGCAAUCCCGAAGACGCCAUCCUGCCCCAACCCUUUGCGCUGAGCCCUUCCAGCCAGCUGAAUGGGCCUGGUGAGAAUAGCCUGCUUUCGUGGAGUCUGAUCGGGAUCCCAAAGCUUUCACUUCCUGUCCGGAUGA